rnacentral:lncRNA from 1 species
UGUCAAGAAAAAUAAAGGUAGCAUUACUAUGAGUGUUAACCGUUGGCAACUCAACAAAAGUAACUAUGAAGCAUCGAUAUUCUCUUCAAGAAUCGAUAUUCUCAACAAAAGUGACUAUGAUUUGCUUCACGACAUUGAAACUUUGAUAAGAAUAGCAAAAAAUAAACCUUGUAUUACUGAGAAAUUACUACAAAAGAAUUGAAGAACAAAUAAAUUUGAAUUAGAAGUACACAAUUAUAAAUAAAUAUGGUUACAUAGUGAUGUACAUAAUUCAGAAACCACAACAAAGGUAGAAGAAGCAAAAUGAGGAAACAAUGACAACACCUUCAACAACAUAAACUAUCUUGAAAACGACCGUGUCCAUGAUCGUCGUGCGUAGAUGAAGUCGUUUCCAGUGAAACCCAUGAGAGAAUUUCCAUGGUCGCAAUUGCUCCUUGCUCAACUUCUUGAACGACCAACUUGUCUUCAUCAUAUGAUAACUUGAACUUGGUCUCACUAUUUAUCUUGGUUGUAUCGUUUAAUUUUUUAUGUAACAAAUAUAGUUAAUAUGCACAUAUAGAAAGGAGUGAGAGACAUGUAUAUAUAUGCAGAAAAGGAAUAUAUAUAUUAUGUGCCUUGGACGCUUCAAUGGUAAGAGUAUUGGCUGGCUUUGGCUGUUUUUCUUGCUGGCCUAAGAU